AAAUUGAAGAGUUUGAUCAUGGCUCAGAUUGAACGCUGGCGGCAGGCCUAACACAUGCAAGUCGAACGGUAACAGGAAGCAGCUUGCUGCUUCGCUGACGAGUGGCGGACGGGUGAGUAAUGUCUGGGAAACUGCCUGAUGGAGGGGGAUAACUACUGGAAACGGUGGCUAAUACCGCAUAACGUCGCAAGACCAAAGAGGGGGACCUUCGGGCCUCUUGCCAUCAGAUGUGCCCAGAUGGGAUUAGCUUGUUGGUGAGGUAACGGCUCACCAAGGCGACGAUCCCUAGCUGGUCUGAGAGGAUGACCAGCCACACUGGAACUGAGACACGGUCCAGACUCCUACGGGAGGCAGCAGUGGGGAAUAUUGCACAAUGGGCGCAAGCCUGAUGCAGCCAUGCCGCGUGUAUGAAGAAGGCCUUCGGGUUGUAAAGUACUUUCAGCGGGGAGGAAGGUGUUGUGGUUAAUAACCGCAGCAAUUGACGUUACCCGCAGAAGAAGCACCGGCUAACUCCGUGCCAGCAGCCGCGGUAAUACGGAGGGUGCAAGCGUUAAUCGGA
rnacentral:rRNA from 1 species